UAUUCUGCUUGGGCAAGUGCAUAAGUGACUCCACCUGCAGAGGCGGCCCCCAGGGAAAGCCUGGACAGGGAUCUCUCUUCAGCAGCCGCGGCUCAGUCUUCGUGGUGGCUUCAGGAGGAGGGGGGUGGAACUCUCUUUUCAGGGAAGUUCAUUUCCAAGGCAAGGACUCAUUGUGCCAUACGUCCUCCUUGCAAACAUGCCUGCUUCCAGCCCGGACUGGGGCACCUGAAGUGCAGAGGGGAUGGGACUCCUCAUCUAAGCCCGGGCUCAGCUUCUCCUGCCAGCCAGCUCUGCCCAUUGCUGUGUGCGAGUCAGGUACUGGAUGGGGACUUCACACCUGGGUUCUGCUGGAGCUAGCCCUGCACGAGGACCAUAUACAUCCCUUAAAGACUGAAUCACCUGUCUGAAUCACCUCUACCUCUUAUCUUGUAUAGUCAGAGGAGAGGAGCGAAGAGAGCAUGACAUGAAGUCCAGAACUGAGCCUGCCCAGAAGCCAGCCUUCUAAGCACAAGUUUUCAGAGGUGCUGUGGCAGCAUAAUACCAUAGUGUGGUUUCUGUUCUACCCAGUAAACCCAAAUACCUUGACAUGGAGCUUGUUUAUUCAAAACAUAGUAUUAUAUUUCACCUUUCCUGCUAGAAUCCUGAAACAUUCCAUGUGGAAACCAUAGCCAUACUGUAAUAUUUUCAACUUAACAUUUUCUACAAAUUCAUUUCAAAUGAAAAAACUCUCCUAUUACUUCAUUUGAAUGUUUCUCUUACUAUUUUUCUUCCCAAAAAAUCUAUUUUGGUAUCCUUUUCCAGUGUCUCAAAAAACUCCAGUACCUUCUGGGUACAUCUGUUUCCCACUCUUUUCCUCCCCUGUUUUUGCAUGCCCAAGUCUGUUAGCCUCAGCAUGAGUAAAAUGACAUAUGUGAAGAUUUCACUCUUCCCUUGUAGUUUCUGAUAAAACAAGUACUGUAUGCUUUCAUUUAAAAGUACUUGUACUCUUUAUUUCCAGUUACUCUCAUGAUUAUUCCUCCUUACUCACCUGUCAUUUGAGGAAGAAAGUUGUAUUGGUUAAUGAAGUCCUGAAGUCAGGGGUGACUUGGUGAGAGGUGGAAGAGCAGAUAACUGCCUGAGACCUGGCAAGCUGUCAUUUCAAAACACUUCUCCAUUUAGUAACUGCGGAGUCCCCCACUACUCCUCCCCUAGUAAGCAGAGCAGCACAAUGGGAAUGGGUAUGUAGAUCAAAACAUCUGGUGCAGAGCACACAGCAUCAACAUGGUACGUGCUCAGGGGAGAUUACUUUUGAGUUGUGCUCAUCUGAGCUGGGGAGCUGAAUGCUCACCUGCACCUGUAGUUCCUUCUGGGCUGCCCUGGAAGACACCUUGCAGCUUAGUUUGGAUGAGAAAAGAUCCCUGUUGUACAUGCUGAAGUCAGUCCAUGAAGGGAAACAAGGCACAGCAAAUUUCUGUGCAGUUACAAUGUUUGCUUCAAGAGUGUAUUGCUGAUCCAAAUUGGAACAUCAUUGCACAUAGAUGCACCAAAGGCUGAUUUCCUGGUGCAACAAGGAGUCAAAAAAUCAACAGAUAUUCUUGUUCUUAGAUUGGUCAAAAGACCUGACCAUGAGACCUAGUAAGAAGUUACUACUAGACUAAUAAUAGAUGAGAUGUCUAGCAGUAAUUAACUUUCAAUUGUAGAAGAAAGCCUAUGCCAGAUUUGAGAAGUCAUUUGUGGACAGACAAUUGAGUAUCUAGUGAUUAUUACCAAAUUUUGUGGACGUGCUUAACCUAAAGCAAAAACACAGUUUCUUGUCUAAGUCUACCCGUCUCUGGCAGAAGACCUCUACUCACUGAGUAUGCAUAGUAAGAAUACUGUUAUAUAUGAGUAACUUGUAUGCAGAUAUUGUAACCAAUCAGCCCUACAGGACUGCCUUGAGGGCAUGUAUAUACUGAUAGGAUAGUGUAUAAAUGACUGAGACUUUGUAUUGCUGGUAUGCUAGUUUAGUCUAGCAUCCAGUCCUGUACAAUCUGUAAUAAAAUCAAUAUCUCCUCUCUGUGUGCAGAAUUUGGCUUAUUUGCAUGCAUGCCAGGUAAAGAACCCGGUUUUAGGGACACAUUCACAUUUUAAUUGUGUGCUACUUCUGGUACAAAAUAUCCUGAUUUUUAGUGAUUCACAUUCAGCACAUCUGAGGUCACAACCCCAGCAAACAGACCUGGCCACCACAGACUGAUAUUACUUAUGACACCAAAAGGAACAAAAUAAACAACCCACUUGCUUUUUUAACACUUUCUACAUGUGGGAUCUUCUUAAUUGCAUGGUUGAUUUUGAAAAAAAAAAUCAGGAUAGAAAAAGGCAGCUAUUAUUGAUCCUCUUACACAUCUUUCAUUUUUAUCACUAGACAUGUGGAAUGACUUUACACUGACUUCUAUGGAGGCAGCAAGGAACAAUGGUGCCUCUUAGAGGAGAAUCUAAGUCAGUGUUUCCAUUUCAGGCUGUAACAGCUCUUCAGCUCUGCUUAGAUGUAUUCUAGCAGAUUCCCGUUCCCGAAGUAUGUUUUCCCUAGUGCUAUGUAUAUUUAACAGCUCAAACCCCUACAGUGUACUAAUGUUGAAUUGUGAAGUCUGCAUUAUUCCUGAAAGAAAUGAGGAGGCCUGAGAGACAGGCUGCCUUACAAACAGCAGCUUUGUAUUUCCUGAAGAAGCAUUGCAAUCCUACAGAUAUUUUCUAGAACAUCUGCUUUACCAAAUCUUCCAGACAACAAUUCCCUAAAUACAAGGUGACAUUUUUCCCUCAGGAAAUCAUUAUACAAUUAUAUAUCAAAGUCAUGAUGGAAUUCAGAAUGUCUGAAGGAUUUACAUUUUCCUCCAUCCUCACUCCUUAUUUAUUAGAAAAUUACAUUUUACCCUCAGGAAUAGGAUGUGCUUCCCAAUCCCUCCUCAGUUUCAGCUAAGCUGUAAGCAUGACAUGCUGUCUCAAAAUGCCAGACAAAUUAAGUUAUAUCACAUAUUUGUAUAAUUAUGCUGUGCAUCACAAGAAAAUUUGCUGUCACAUUAAGUGUUUUUUGCAGGGUUUAAACAGAGGUUGACCUUUAAAUAAGUCUUUAAAACUUAUCUUUGGAGUUGUAGAGUAUGACAUUUGAUCAGUCAUCUGUGGUGAGUUCAUCUUAAAUUUGGUGCAAUCUUCAAUUCAUACUUCUCUUUCAUUUUCUGCUAUAGAUGCAAGUUUCAGAGCUCAGGCUGUAAAAUGUUGCAAACUGGUAAUCCUGAAUAAGUAUCUUGGUUUGAACUAUUAAAUUUAUGCUGUGCACCUCUGUGCCUAAUUCAGAGAGAAUUUCACAGUAUUUAAUUUGUCAAGAUCCUUGGAGAUCUAGUACUUGUAAAACAGAGAGCCCUCACCAUGAAAUAAUUGUCAAAAAAAAACCCUUCAUGUCCAGAAGGCAGUACACUGCACGCCUCUUUCCCAGUAUUCUUAUAACUGUUGACAAAGGACCUCAUGAAUUAAAUCCCACGGGAAUUUUCCCUAUGUCAAUACACUGUGAGCUAGAAUGGGAUAUGCUUAAAAUAACUUAGUAGGAGAUGGUUUCAACAUUUGAAAAGCUCAAGGGCCCUAGAAGGCUCAGUGGGAUCACGUCUGUCCUGACUGUCUUCACCAAAUGCAACACUGAUCACAUAUAUUUUCUUCUUUACUGUCUCAGCACCAUGGAAUAGUAUUAGCAGAUUUUUUUUUUUCCUGAGUGAAUUAUAUCUUUCUACCUAUUAUGUCUGCUGACUUCUAUAAAUAAAUUGAAGCAAUAAGAGAUAUUGGCUUCUCCCUGUCAAGGGCAACUUUCAAUUUAAUAUUUUAGUUUGGAAAAAAGAUGAGCAAAAGGAGAUUCAGAAAAACUUCCAAAGUCCAUGGGGCACAAUUUGGACCUAGUUAGCUGAAAGUCGAGCAGUAGCUAGAAAACUGCCAUUUUAUUUUUCAUAGUGUCAUAUUUAUUGGGGAAAAAGCUAUAGGAAUUAUGCCACUAAACACAAAGGGAAAAAGGAUAAAAUUACAGAUAAUCUUCUUCAAUGUCAAAAUGAAAGGAAAGUUACCCAUCCAUUUGCUAUAGAAAUGAAGUCCUUAGAUGAGCUAGCAAGAGCUGCAAUUGUUCUCUCGUGGAUAGACUGUUCAAGUGUGAAGGAAAGUUAAAGAACUGUUAGUGUGUUCCUGUCUUAGAGUCAGGACUGAUAGCUCUCAUGGUCGGAGGGAAGCCAGAGACCAAGGGAAAAGAGUGAAGUAGGAAAAUGAGACUGGGAGAAAUAGAGGGAACAGAAAGAGCCUGAGAGGUGAUAGGACACCUGGGAAGGAGCUGGCUACAGAAGAAGAACAUAGCUGGGAGGAGAAGAGUAGAGGAUCUAGAGGAGAUAAGACUGCAGCUAGGUAGAUGAGAAGAGCAGUAUGGUAAAAGGGAGAGAGGGGCAAGAAAAAGACUGUAAGUUAAUAGAAGGAAAUACAAGGUCAGAAGGAUGGAAAGAAAUUAACAGGGGAAUACCUGGACACCAGAGCACCAUCAGCCAAACUCUAGAGCUGGGCUGUGACAAGAGUACGUCCUGUCUCCUGUCUAGUGAGUGUAUGUGAGUUUUCUUCACUGGAGGCCAAGACGUGAUGGAGAAAUCAGAGCAAAACCAUGCCCAAAGGGAGGCUACAACUUAGCUGGGUUAACACCUGGAUCCAGGUAUUUGGAAAUAUUCCCAGACACAUCAUUUAAAUGCAGCCUCUGUAAGUUCAAAUAGCCGAAGUUCAUGUUGUCAAUCUGAAGGCUCAAAAAUGUGUUGGUUACAUCAGUAGAAAAAUUUAGAAAGAAGUAAAAAUUACUGUUUGUUUUCUGAGAACACUAGAAACAUCAAGAAAACUCACAGGGCUCAGUUCAACCAAAUCUAAGGAGGGGCUGACACAAAUGCUACAUUUUUGAGGAAACUGAGAAUGAAAAAUAUACUUUUAAUUUUGAUUGCUUUCAAACACAGAAUUCAGCUACACCUCAGUGCAUCAGUUUGGAAGCACAAAGGAGUGCAUUCACAGCAUCCAAAUAGCAUUCUCACACUGCUGGUGUCUGCAUCUCUCUCGUUUAAAACUGAUAGUGGAACAGGGUUUUAAAGGAUCAGUAGGUUCAGUGAAUAAUCUGAAAAUCAAUGUGAUAAGAAACUGUAAAAUCAACACAUUAUUUGAGCUGCUUGGAUCACAGUCAACAACAUUCCUGAGUGCUCCUCAGAGGAGCUCAUAACCAUGGAGCAAACCAUCCAUGCACAUCUAUUUCAGUUACUUCCUGGCUUCUCAGGAGGGCAAUUUUUUUAAUAUUGAAAGAUUUUGGUUUAAACAAGAGGUCAGUACCUGCCAUUUCAAAUUAGACAUGAAGUGGCACCUUAGAUGUUGACUGAGGCAUAAGCAGGCUAUAGCAACACUUUAUGUUAGUAUCUAAAGUUCAUCCUUGUGUGAUAAAGGCUGUAGAGACAAGAAGAUAUGAGCUCAGCAACAGCAGUCCCUGCAAGCAAAUCCAAACUUUGAACUCUGGCACAGGAGUUCCCCAAGAAAAGGUAAAAUCUGAGCCUGGAGCACUUUACAGAAGUACACUUAGCUCUUCACUUGGUUAAAAACUGUGAAUUCAAUGGAUAACCUGGAGGAAUAUUCUCAUAAGCAGCCAUGGUUUUGCUUUUUCUGACCAUCUUUUUCUCAACAUCAGAUCAAUCAGCUCAGGCUAAGUGAGGCAGAAGUGAUUAUUUUUAACAGAACCCAGCUGGGCAGGCUUUGCAACCACUUUCUGUCAGUGAGUUCAUUUGCAAAAGUAAGCAGAGACAUUUCCCAUCACAUCCUGCUUGUGAUAACACAGAAAGACAUUACACAGCUCUGCUGACAUGGGUGGCACCACUGUCACAUGCAAAUGUCUCCAUCAUCUUCUGCACAUUUCUUUUGGAGCCAGGUUGCCAAAGGGAUUCCAGGCUGCCUGCUGGGAAAAAAAAAAAGCAAAACCUUCUUCCUUCUUCCUUCCUUCUUCCUUCCUUCUUCCCAGUACAAGUCUUUCAAGAUCUAUGAAAUAGUUACUUCUGCUGUAUAAGCAAUCUGAGGCAUGAACAGACUCUCCCAUGCCUCAUGUUCCUCUGGAAAUUCUAAUAAAGUGCUUUAAAUGUGUUUUUGUACAUUGUUGUAUGCAGUUGUCCUGUGGCCGCCAUGACUUUUCAGGUCCUUUGUACUAAGGCUUUUAAAAGGUAGGUGCAAGAUAAGUAGUAUUGGCAAUUCAACAUGUGCUCUUGUUUUGUGUCAAAAAUUACUGUUAUCUUUACUCUGUAAAACCUUCCGGUUUUCUUCUGCUGGUAUAAAAUGUCUAUUAAAUAAUAAUAAUAAAAAAAUAUAGAAAUGUUAAUCUAGAGCCGAAUUCACUCCAUUGAGUCCAACUCACAAACCUGCCAGUAAAGGGCAGAACUGGAUUUCUGUCUGGUUCUUUGUCAGUGCUCAUGCAGAAAAGAAAGGGAAGACUCUGAAUAUUUUUGAACAGCAGUGUGGGACCUUCGUCUGGGCAUUGUCAGUAGAAGCAGAUCAAUUUACUUACUGAUUUGCCAUAAUGUGCAAGAAAAGGUGUUUACCAGGUAUAAACUCAUAUCCAUCACAUACUUGCAUGGAUUUACUUCUGCUCUUGACACUUGUCUUUCACUUGCUUCAUUGU